rnacentral:rRNA from 1 species
CCUACGGGAGGCAGCAGUGAGGAAUAUUGGUCAAUGGACGCGAGUCUGAACCAGCCAUGCCGCGUGCGGGAGGACGGUUCUGUGAAUUGUAAACUGCUUUUGUACGAGGAUAAACGCAGAUACGUGUAUCUGUCUGAAAGUAUCGGACGAAUAAGGAUCGGCUAACUCCGUGCCAGCAGCCGCGGUAAUACGGAGGAUUCAAGCGUUAUCCGGAUUUAUUGGGUUUAAGGGGUGCGUAGGCGGUCUGUUAAGUUAGCGGUGAAAUCCCGAGGAUCAACUUCGGAAUUGCCGUUGAUACUGUCCGGCUAGAGAGGAGGUGCGGUAGGCGGAAUGUAUGGGGUAGCGGUGAAAUGCUUAGAGAUCAUACAGAACACCGAUUGCGAAGGCAGCUUACCAAGCUACUUCUGACGUUGAGGCACGAAAGCGUGGGGAGCAAACAGGAUUAGAUACCCGGGUAGUC